CUUGUACACACCGCCCGUCACACCAUGGGAGUUGGUUCUACCCGACGGCCGUGCGCUAACCUUUUGGAGGCAGCGGACCACGGUAGGAUCAGCGACUGGGGUGAAGUCGUAACAAGGUAGCCUGU
rnacentral:rRNA from 1 species